GAGCGAGUGAGUUACCCGGGUGGACGCGGCUGCGAGUCCCCGGUUCGGACUGUGUGUGAGGAUGUGUGUUUGACUUUUUAAAGGCACUCUGUGAAGGUCGCUCAUUCAUUUCGUUUUGUUCUUUUUGGGUAAUUUCUUGGUUUGGUUGUUUUAUUUAUUUGUUUUGUUUAAGUGAUUUGUUUAUUUUUUUGGCAACGUACUUAUUAUACUUUAAUGAGUAAUGUUUUAGUUGGAGAUCCUUUUUGUUAGUGCUUUGAAUGAAGUAAUUUUUGGUUUUCUGAGUUUAUCUCUGGCCAGAGAGUCGUAAUUUGUUUCCUUUGGUUGAUUUCUGAUUCAUUUUGAACAUUAUUACCCAGUUAAAUUGAUUAGUUAUUGAUUUGGUUAUGUUUUGGUGUGUUUUCUUUAUGAGUCCCUUGCCCUAAUUGUGUUUCUUUUCCCCCUACAGAGCUGACGGCCAACGGUGGUGGUGGUGGUCCUCUAAGGUGGUGGUGAUCCCUGAGUGUGUGCGUUUUAUUUGACUCCCCGUUUGAAGAUUUAUUUGUGUGCACCUUAUGUUUGUUGUGAGUGGGGUGUUCUCUUUUCUUUGGACGUCACCAGUUUUGACCCCUCCUCUAGCCCGUACGCCUCAGCCUGUAUCCCUGUUUCAGUUGGGCUCUGUUAUUAUCAUAUUUUGCGUCUUAUUAAUUAUGUUGACCUUUUAUCAAUAAAUUUUGUACGUUGAUUAUUGAUUCUCGUCUCCUGCCUCCCUGGUUGAACGAACCUGAGUGCCUUAGAGAACUAGGUAAUUGACCUUUAGAUACGGGUCCUUGGGCCCCCUCCCAAGGUGGCGUUGUUGGACAACAAAGUUCGGGUGGUACCCAAACUGAUAAUAUAUAGCUCGUGCCGCCACAAACCUGGCGUUGUCGGCAGGAUCAACUCAGUGGAGGUGGAGACGUGCGUCCUAUGUUUAAUCAUUUUAGUUUUUUUGGUUUUCAGAUUGCCAAGUGUGUGUGUGAGUGUGAAUGUGAAUGAACGGCAGCUUCAGGCGAGCCAGCAGAGACGGUGUUUAUUUUUUUUUGGGUAGCGUUAACAUUUACAGCCUAGUGUAGCUUUCAGAAAUGGAGGGAGAGUUGCAAGAGUUGAGAGACUUGGUGGCACAGCUGCGGGCAGAGAAUGACAGGUUACAGCAGGAGCAGGCUGCACCCGUGCCUGGUCCUAGUGCUGCACCAUCCAUUCCUGCUGAACCUCGUCCAGCACCAUCCUCUUCUGUCGCUCCUGUAACAGAGCGACUGGUCCUCGUGCCCAGAGACAGGAAGUGUCCUGUGUUUAGGGGUAGGUCAGGUAUAGGACUAGAGGAGUGGAUCGAGGAAACUCAGGCCUGCAUUAGAUCCCGCCACCUGUCCAACGCUGAUCAAGCAUUUUUUCUUUUUGACCAUCUAGAGGGAGAGGCGCGUGAAGAAAUAAAAUAUCGUCCGGCCACAGAUCGAAGUGAUCCAGCUAAAAUCCUUGCGGUCUUGCGAGAACUAUAUGGCUGUGCUGAUUCGUAUGUUGCUCUACAGGAGGCGUUCUUCUCGAGGCGACAGAAGGAAGGGGAGACUCUUCACGAGUUUUCCCUCGCCCUGAUGAGCUUGAUGUCAGCGGUGAAACAAAGUGCUCCAAGCGAGAUGCCAAAUGCAGAUGUUUUGUUGCGUGAUCAAUUUAUUGAAAACGUUAUUGACGGUUCCCUUCGCCGAGAGUUAAAGCAACUCACACGCAGGCAGCCUACCAUCUCCCUGUUAGAUGUUAGGGCAGAGGCCAUUAGGUGGGAGCGAGAGGGAUUACCAGGGGGUGUGCGGGGCCGAAGCCACUCUGUUCCUUCGUUGAUGGGCUUGCAGUGCGGUGUUCAGACUGCUCCUUUUGUGGCUAGUCCACCCCAGGCUUCAGAGUUGCAGGAGGUGAAACAUAUGCUGAGGCUCCAACAGGAACAGCUUAGCCGUCUCACCGAAAGUCUCGCUCAGCUGCAGACCAAUCAGCUGCGUAACAAUUCUUCUCACCAUGGUCCGGUGAUUUGCCGGCGGUGUCAUCAGCCUGGCCAUUUUGCCAGGGAAUGCAGAGGGGAGCGUGCGCCUCCUCCACCUUCAGGGUCUGCUUCCUUCCGGCCAGCCUUUCGGCGGGACCCGGCUCAGCGUUUGGAAAACUAGCGCCCGUCGAACUGCGGAGCCAAAGUUCGGGGGGAGCUGCCACCGGCUCACCAGAAGAGAUGGUAAUGGAUGGGGAAGAGACUAAGUUGAUCAGCGCUUGUCCACAUAUGGACGUGGUUAUGGGGGGUGUAACCGUGCCUUGCCUCGUAGACACCGGGUCCAUGGUGUCCACUAUUAGAGAGAGCUUUUUUCGGCAACACUUUGAAAUUUGGGGCCAAGAAAAACUUAAGUCCUGCCAUUGGCUCCAGCUUCAAGCGGCCAAUGGGUUACCCAUCCCAUAUCUUGGCUAUUUAGAGCUGGAAGUCGAGCUCUGUGGUCGGACUUUGCCAGGAUGUGGGCUGCUGGUCGUCAAGGACCCCCCAACUGCUGCGUCUCCUCCUGCCCCGGGUGUCUUGGGGAUGAACAUCCUGAAAAGGUGUUACAGCACCCUAUUUGGGCAACAUGGUGCUGCCCUUUUCAACUUGCCCACCGUCGCUGAAGCACCAAAGCCUGUGGUGCAGGCAUUGCAGAGAUGCCAUCAAGCUUCUCUGACCUCCCCUUCUGCCAUUAGUGGCAAGGUCAAGCUGCGAGGAAAGAAAGCGUGUCGUAUCGCCGGUGGCACUAUGCAGCUGGUUCCAGCCACCUGUUCUGCCCAGUACUCGGGGAGAACUGUGCUGUUCGAGCCCUCAGAUCAGGGCCUUUCUGCUGGCCUGCUGGCAUCCCCAGCACUGGUUCAAGUGGAGGGAGGUACUGUGUACAUACCUGUGGUCAACGUGGGUAUGUCUGAUGUGUUGCUUUACCCCAGAACAACGGUUGGUGCUUUGUGUGAGGUUUCCGUGGUGAGCCUACCUUCUGGGGUGAAGGAGGUUCCAUCCUACAUGGCCACGGUGGCAUCUCAGGCUGUGGUUUCUACGCUGCAAAAUCAAAUCGAUGCAGUGGAUCUGUCUGCUUUGUCACUUGAAGAGCAGCAGGAAGCCAGACUUCUGCUCUGGAAAUAUGCGUCUGUCUUCUCCUCUCACGACAGUGACUUAGGCUGCACUGACCUGAUUACACAUGAAAUCCCGCUUCUUGACGACACUCCCAUCCGUCAGCGCUACCGGCGUAUCCCGCCAUCAGAAUACGAAACGGUGAAAGAACACAUCAAUCAGUUGCUUGGUGCGCAGGUCAUCUGAGACAGCUGCAGCCCUUUUGCGUCCCCAAUUGUAUUGAUUAAAAAGAAAGAUGGAAGUCUGCGCUUGUGCGUCGACUACCGACAGCUGAACAGCCGGACGAGAAAGGACGCGUUCCCUCUCCCGCGAAUUGAGGAAUCGCUGGAUGCACUCACUGGAGCCCGCUGGUUUUCCACUAUGGAUUUAGCCAGCGGCUACAAUCAGGUCCCGGUGGCAGAGGCCGACCGACCCAAGACCGCUUUUUGUACUCCGUUCGGACUCUUUGAAUGGAAUCGUAUGCCGUUCGGGUUGUGUAACGCACCUAGCACCUUCCAGCGACUCAUGCAACGGAUUUUCGGAGACCAGCAAUGUCAGUCGUUGCUCUUGUAUCUUGAUGACAUUGUGGUCUUUUCCUCCACAGUUCAACAACAUUUUCAGAGAUUGGAAGUGGUGCUGCAGCGGCUACAACAUGAAGGUCUGAAAGCGAAGUCGUCAAAGUGCUCAUUCUUCCAACAGCAAGUGCUGUACUUGGGCCACAUCAUUUCGGCUGAAGGAGUUUCCACCGACCCGAGUAAGGUCGAAGUGGUAGCCAAUUGGCAGCCUCCCACCACCAUCUUGCAGCUGCGGUCAUUCCUUGGGUUCACAAGCUACUAUCGGCAUUGCGUGGAGGGCUUUGCCAAGUUGGCUGCCCCUUUACAUCGCCUUGUCGGGGAACUCGGAGCGUCCAAGCUCCGACGGUCUGGACAGCAAGUGGCGGAAAAGUGGACGGGUGAACAUCAGCGGAACUUUGAAUCUUUAAAAUCUAAGCUUACUACGGCACCUGUGUUGGCCUACGCUGACUUUUCCCUUCCUUUCAUUUUGGAAGUGGAUGCGAGCCAUGGGGGCCUUGGCGCUGUGCUCUCGCAGGAGCAGGGAGGGAAGGUCCGGCCUAUCGCAUUUGCUAGCCGAAGUCUGAGGCCCACCGAACGUAACCCCGCCAAUUACAGCUCCAUGAAGCUGGAGUUUUUGGCACUAAAGUGGGCUAUGGCUGACAAAUUCCCUGAGUACUUGCUUGGUCACAAGUGCAUUGUCUUCACAGACAAUAAUCCACUUAGCCACCUGUCAUCGGCUAAACUUGGUGCUCUUGAACAGCGUUGGGUAGCCCAACUCGCGUCAUUCGACUUUGAAAUUCGUUACCGCUCUGGUAAGAGUAACAUCAAUGCAGAUGCUCUGUCCCGCUUGCAUUCACCUCAACCGGUAGAUCUUGGCACGAUCAUCUCUGGUACGCAGCUCCCCCAGCCCUUGAAGCAAGCUCUCCAACCAAAAAGGCCUGCAGCCUGUCAGGCUGCUGUCCAUGCUUUGCCUCAACAUCUGCCUGCAGACAUUGGAGACCUGCAGAGAGCUGAUCCUGUGAUCCAGGAAGUCCUUUCGUUCUGGCAGCAGAAACGUUAUCCAAAUCAAGCGGAACGUAGACGGCUGUCCCCCACAGCUCUGGUGCUCCUCAAGCAGUGGGGGCGAUUGAGUGAGCAGGCCGGAGUUGUGUACCGGCAAGUCUCUUGUGCAGACAAAGGAGAAGUGACUCUCCAGGUGCUGCUGCCCGAGGUGCUGAAGGAAAAAGUCCUUACCGAGCUGCACCAAAAUCAUGGCCACCAGGGGGUGGGCAGGACUCUGGAUUUGCUUAGGCAGCGGUGCUAUUGGUCGGGGAUGUCAGCAGAUGUGCGGCGCUGGUGUCAAAGUUGUGAGCGAUGCCAAGUGGCUAAGGACCCUGGACCACCAGUCCGUAGCUUUAUGGGACAUCUGCUUGCUUCGGAACCUAACAAGAUCCUGGCGAUGGAUUUCACUGUCCUCGAACCAACCCAUAACGGGCUGGAGAAUGUCCUUGUGCUGACGGAUGUCUUCAGUAAAUACACUCUUGCUAUUCCCACCCGUGACCAGCGUGCCUCUACAGUGGCACAGGUGCUUGUCACAGAGUGGUUUUCCAAGUUUGGCGUUCCAGCACGCAUUCAUUCCGAUCAGGGUCGCAAUUUCGAAAGUGUACUCAUCCAGCAGCUGUGUGGUUUGUACAACAUUGAAAACUCUCGCACCACACCAUACCACCCUGCAGGUAAUGGUCAGUGCGAGCGUUUCAAUCGCACCCUCCAUGAUUUGUUGCGCACUUUGCCUCCCUCUCGCAGCAAGCUACGUACGAUUAUGGCUGGCUAGCCCCGGCUACCUGGAUACUGCCGCUGUGCUGCUGCUGUUGCAUCGCUGCCGCUUUGCUGCCGUUAUUAAACGCCUCCGCUGUUUGCCGGCCUGCUUCGGGGUGCGAUCGGCUGCCUCGCGCCGACUCCCCUUUAUUGACUUCGUCCCCUAGCAGCCGUGCGGGGUGCAGAGCGAGUGUGUUACCCGGGUGGACGCGGCUGCGAGUCCCCGGUUCGGACUGUGUGUAAGGAUGUGUGUUUGACUUUUUAAAGGCACUCUGUGAAGGUCGCUCAUUCAUUUCGUUUUGUUCUUUUUGGGUAAUUUCUUGGUUUGGUUGUUUUAUUUAUUUGUUUUGUUUAAGUGAUUUGUUUAUUUUUUUGGCAACGUACUUAUUAUACUUUAAUGAGUAAUGUUUUAGUUGGAGAUCCUUUUUGUUAGUGCUUUGAAUGAAGUAAUUUUUGGUUUUCUGAGUUUAUCUCUGGCCAGAGAGUCGUAAUUUGUUUCCUUUGGUUGAUUUCUGAUUCAUUUUGAACAUUAUUACCCAGUUAAAUUGAUUAGUUAUUGAUUUGGUUAUGUUUUGGUGUGUUUUCUUUAUGAGUCCCUUGCCCUAAUUGUGUUUCUUUUCCCCCUACAGAGCUGACGGCCAACGGUGGUGGUGGUGGUCCUCCAAGGUGGUGGUGAUCCCUGAGUGUGUGCGUUUUAUUUGACUCCCCGUUUGAAGAUUUAUUUGUGUGCACCUUAUGUUUGUUGUGAGUGGGGUGUUCUCUUUUCUUUGGACGUCACCAGUUUUGACCCCUCCUCUAGCCCGUACGCCUCAGCCUGUAUCCCUGUUUCAGUUGGGCUCUGUUAUUAUCAUAUUUUGCGUCUUAUUAAUUAUGUUGACCUUUUAUCAAUAAAUUUUGUACGUUGAUUAUUGAUUCUCGUCUCCUGCCUCCCUGGUUGAACGAACCUGAGUGCCU